rnacentral:lncRNA from 1 species
CCAGCUUCUAACCAUGGAAGCUUUGUGUUUUCUGUAUAAGCUGUCCUUGACUACGGACAAAGAAUGGGUACCGAGUGUUCAGUUGGCAUCAUAAUAGGAAACAGAAUUCUACACAGAUGGUUCAACGGAACAGAGUUUCUUGAGGGGCAUAUUUAUGGAGGGGUAAGGAGACCAGCAAGGGAUAUUGAGGCACCCAGGGCUAAACUUAGAGGGAAGCUGUCAUCACCCUAGGGCCUGAGGAGGAAGGGGAGAAAAUACUGUUUGGGGGGCCUGGUGGGAGCUGUAGCUGGGAGGAGGACCAUGAGGGAGAAACCAUAGUCAUGGAAGGAUGUUGUCACUGCCAGGACCAAGACACCAAGACUGUGUGCUAGGCACUGAGUUAGAGUUGAAGACCCUCAAGAAUUCCACUGACAACUGAAUCAUCAAAGGGAACCGAGCCCUGCCCAAGGACAUACAGUUGUUUUCCUCUUCCUUGUCCUUUGGAGAAGCACAGCUGAAGCUUCCUGCCCACACCCCAGCCCCUCCUCCUUGAGCAUGAAUGUGCAGACCACCCACCGCCCCAUGCUUGUAUCUACAACAGCUAUGAGGAAGAACAUACAGAUUAAUCACCCUGCUGCGGGAUGCCAGCUACCCAGUGGCUCUGGCAGCCCCAGUCAAUGGAUCCUGCAGUGUAGCCUUCAUCAGUAGAGCUGCCACUGCCAGCACCCAAAAGCUCAAGUUACCCUUCUGAUAAGAGGAAAUUCGCGUCAAGUCACAUAGAAUCACUGAAUAUUUGCACUUGGAGGAUCACCUGGCCUAAUUCUUCUGCUUUACACAUGCAGAUGCUGAAGGAGAGAAGUUAAAGAACCUGUCCAAAAUCGCACAGCUAGUUAGUAAUAAAGCUUGGGUGGAAUUCUGCUUUUCUGACUCCCAGAUUAGUAUUUC